CUGGCCCUGAAUCAAGACCAGCAGCUUCCUGAUGCUGUUGGUUUCAAGCAAGAGCCUAAAGAGAUGUCUUUCUAUGGUCUGUUGGCCAUUUCAGAACUUGGACAGUACAAUGGUCAAUUCAUUAGAAAGAAACAGCU
ensembl:snoRNA